rnacentral:rRNA from 1 species
ACCUACGGGGGGCAGCAGUGGGGAAUAUUGGACAAUGGGGGGAACCCUGAUCCAGCGACGCCGCGUGAGUGAAGAAGUAUUUCGGUAUGUAAAGCUCUAUCAGCAGGGAAGAAAGAAAUGAUGGUACCUGACUAAGAAGCCCCGGCUAACUACGUGCCAGCAGCCGCGGUAAUACGUAGGGGGCAAGCGUUAUCCGGAUUUACUGGGUGUAAAGGGAGCGUAGACGGUUACGCAAGUCUGGAGUGAAAGGCGGGGCCCAACCCCCGGACUGCUUUGGCAACUGUAUAACUGGAAUGCAGGAGAGG